rnacentral:rRNA from 1 species
UACGAAGGGGGCUAGCGUUGCUCGGAAUUACCGGGCGUAAAGGGCGCGUAGGCGGAUGUCUAAGUCAGAGGUAAAAGCCCAGGGCUCAACCUUGGAACUGCCUUUGAUACUGGACAUCUUGAGUACGGGAGAGGUGAGUGGAACUCCGAGUGUAGAGGUGAAAUUCGUAGAUAUGCGGAAGAACACCAGUGGCGAAGGCGACUCACUGGCCCGUUACUGACGCUCAGGCGCGACAGCGUGGGGAUCAAACAGG